CUCUGACCUAGGUUUUAGGCAAACCUUCCUCGUUAACCUUCUUCAGCCUGAAUUCAAAUCCACUUUUGCUUCAGCUAUAAUUCAAGUAAUACACUCUGCUUGAAACUGCUUAAGAUGUAUUGUGCUUCUGCAGUAAUUCCAGCAUUACCUAACUCUGUGCACAGCAGAAAUACCACGUCACUUGCGUGGAUUAACCUGAGAGUGGGAGCUGUCGUUCAGUUCAAACCGUAUUUGAAGAAUCUUUAAUACUUCAUGACACAGAUGUAGUUGGAGCAUAGCCUGCUGUUUUAAUGUCAUAAGCUCAGCUAUUUGAUUUAGGUGCUAACUCAGGCAUGUUCUUUAAAGUCCUAGUGUUUUCUUAAGCAGUUUUCCCUCCC
rnacentral:lncRNA from 1 species